GUGAGGAUUGAUAUUUACGGGUUCCAUG
rnacentral:sRNA from 1 species